CGUCAAUUUGAUGGCAGGUUUGUGACGGCACAGCUUCGAUACACCGGUAUGCUUGAGACGACUAGGAUUAGGAAGCUGGGCUACGCAGUGCGACCUCUCUUCGAAGAUUUUGUCAAAAGAUACCGUAUCUUGGCGUUGAGCCCAAAGUUGGUAACUGACAACCGUGGCGUUGUGAAGAUCUUAACUGACAUGAAAUUGACGGAUUGGCAGAUUGGG